GACAGAGGGGCCGAGCGUUAGGCGGAAUCACUGGGCUUAAAGCGUGUGUAGGCGGACUCGUAAGUGCUUUGUGAAAUCCCACGGCUCACCCGUGGAACUGCUUGGCGUACUGCGAGCCUUGAGCCACUUAGGGGCAACCGGAACAAACGGUGGAGCGGUGAAAUGCGUAGAUAUCGUUUGGAACGCCAAUGAUGAAAACAGGUUGCUGGGAGUGCGCUGACGCUGAGACACGAAAGCCAGGGGAGCGAACGGG
rnacentral:rRNA from 1 species